AUGAAGGGAGCUUGCUCCUGGAUUCAGCGGCGGACGGGUGAGUAAUGCCUAGGAAUCUGCCUGGUAGUGGGGGAUAACGUCCGGAAACGGGCGCUAAUACCGCAUACGUCCUGAGGGAGAAAGUGGGGGAUCUUCGGACCUCACGCUAUCAGAUGAGCCUAGGUCGGAUUAGCUAGUUGGUGGGGUAAAGGCCUACCAAGGCGACGAUCCGUAACUGGUCUGAGAGGAUGAUCAGUCACACUGGAACUGAGACACGGUCCAGACUCCUACGGGAGGCAGCAGUGGGGAAUAUUGGACAAUGGGCGAAAGCCCUGAUCCAGCCAUGCCGCGUGUGUGAAGAAGGUCUUCGGAUUGUAAAGCACUUAAAGUUGGGAGGAAGGGCAGUAAGUUAAUACCUUGCUGAUUUGACGUUACCAACAGAAUAAGCACCGGCUAACUUCGUGCCAGCAGUCGCGGUAAUACGAAGGGUGCAAGCGUAAAUCGGAAUUACUGGGCGUUAAGCGCGCGUAAGUGGUUCAGCAAGUCGGAUGUGACAAUCCCCGGGCUCCAACUGGGAACUGCA
rnacentral:rRNA from 1 species